rnacentral:rRNA from 1 species
AUGGACCAGCCGGCGGUGAUGUCAUUGAACGGCUUCCAGCAAGGAGAAGAGGGCGGGCCGGCGGCGUGCGACGGCCAGUAUCACAGCGAUGACCUCUUCCUGGUGGCGCUGACCACGGCGUGGUAUGAGAACGGCGCCCGGUGCGGGAAGCUGAUCAGCGUCAAUAGCUCCAACGGGCGAUCCCAUGAGGCUAGGGUCGUGGACGAGUGCGGCACCGGUGACGGCUGCCGCACUAACGAGAUCAGCACGUCCGUCGCUGUGUGGGAGGCACUUGGGCUCGAUACCAGCGUCGGCGAGGUAUCCGUCACCUGGUCGGACGUAAUCUGGUAA